rnacentral:rRNA from 1 species
CCUACGGGAGGCAGCAGUGGGGAAUAUUGGACAAUGGGCGCAAGCCUGAUCCAGCCAUGCCGCGUGAAUGAUGAAGGCCUUAGGGUUGUAAAGUUCUUUCACCGGAGAAGAUAAUGACGGUAUCCGGAGAAGAAGCCCCGGCUAACUUCGUGCCAGCAGCCGCGGUAAU